GACAGAGGGUGCAAACGUUGUUCGGAAUUACUGGGCGUAAAGCGCGUGUAGGCGGCUCGGCAAGUCGGGUGUGAAAGCCCUGGGCUUAACCUAGGAAGUGCACUCGAAACUGCCAAGCUCGAGUUCUGGAGAGGAAGGCGGAAUUCUCGGUGUAGAGGUGAAAUUCGUAGAUAUCGAGAGGAACACCGGUGGCGAAGGCGGCCUUCUGGACAGCAACUGACGCUGAGACGCGAAAGCGUGGGGAGCAAACAGG
rnacentral:rRNA from 1 species